CCCUAGCCCCGAUAGAGCCGAUAUCCACGUAGCGCUAGCGAAGUGAUAAAGGCGAAAGCGGGAAAUAGC
rnacentral:misc_RNA from 1 species